AAGAAAUGAAAAGGAUAUUAAUUCAGUGUUUUAGUGUGUCAAUACAGGUGGACUCUCCUCAACCUGAAAACGUGAGUACAGCAGCAAAAGCAUAGAUUAACAGAAUUGGGAUGAAAACAGGCUUUGGCUUAAAAUUUGACAGCUUCACCUCUCAUUGUCUCCUUAUCCUGAGAAGAAGGUUAAAGGACAGUCAAUCUCCUAAUGAAGACAGAAGACAGACAGAACAACACCGUGGACUUGAAGAAUUAACAGCAGGCAAAAAGACUGAACUAUAACACUGACGACUCCAGCAGCAGCAUGUAAGAAAGCACGUGAUGCAACAUGCAUGCUGAUUUGGGCCUGUGUUGAGCUGCGAGGCCCCACAGGAAACUGAGAACAGUGAGAGGUGAACCUGGACACCAUAUAGUGAAUGCAUAUGAGCUAAAAUUGGAUUGAAGGCUGAAUUCAUGGAGGUUUAGGAAUGUCCACCACAUCACAAUAAAGAGCACAUACCUCCGCCUGCUCCCUACUCUCACUGCAGAUCACAAUCUCGUCUGCAAACAUCAUAGUCCACGGAGACUCCUGCCUGUCCUCGUCUUUCAACCUGUCCAUCACUCUUGUAAACAAGGAGCUUAGAGCAGAUCCCUGAUGCAAUCCCACCCCCACCUUGAGCACAUCUGUAACUCCACCUCACCAUUCUCGCUGUUAUCAUAUAUGAGCUGCACCACUCUCACAUACUUCUCUCCCACUCCUGACUUCCUCCUGCUGUACCACAGCUACUCUCUUGACACCCUAUCACAUGCUUUCUCUAGAUCCACAAAGACAAAGUGCAACUCCUUCUGACCUCCUCCAGACUUCUCCAUCAACACCCUGAAAGCAAACACUCCAUCUGUAGUGCUCUUUCUCAGCAUGAAGUCAGACCGCUGCUCACUGAUAAUCACCAACCUUCGUGGUAUGGCUCAUCAGCUUUUAUCGCUCUAGUUACUACAGCUCUGCACAUCGCCUUUGGGCUUAAAAAUUAGUACCAGUGCACUUCUUCAUCGAUAAAUUAACUUCUGAAGCAUGAAAAAAAUUGCAAAAAAAUUCAAUUUUUUUUAAUAUAGAUUUCUUUUGUUUACUGAACUUUCUGACAAAUUGAAAAAAUAAAUUAAAUAUCAAGUUACAUGUAUAGUUUUUUCCAGUUUAUUUAUCUUCAACAAACAAUAACAUAUCACUGAGUUAGGGUUACAAAAAAAAACCCUUGAUGAUGUAAAUGUUUUAAAAACUUCAAAUAUGAUGCAUUUUAUGUGCUUUACAGGAUUAAUAUUUAAAUAUGUGUGAGGCCAUUUUAGCCUAUUUUUUCAGCUGUAGCACCAGGUGGGUUUAAUGGUGUGAGAACAAGUAAACAAGUAAAACCCAGGCAUGAGCUCCAUGCAAAUUUAAUAAUAAUGUAAUAAUAAUAGGUCCGUGGUUUAGGAUCAUAUUACAGCAUACAGGUUAAUAAAAAUUCAAAAUUUAUUGAAGAUUAGAAGAAGAAAAAAAUCAGGGUUUAAGAAUUUGUAUUUCCUACUGAUGUUAAUCACAAAAAUAUUCAUAAAAAGAACUUUAGACCAGCCUGACUAAAGGGCAAAGGAUCUUCCAGGAAUGGUGAGGCUAUUUUCAGAAGGUGAACAUAACCUGCAGAGCUGCAGCAAAACCAUGCCAGUGUACCCUGACUUGAACUGGUUUUGUAAUACUGAAAAUGAAGGGUUAACGUGGCUAACUAAAGAUUUCCAACUUCAGAAGAUGCAUAAUCAUGAAUGUAGCCUGAACUGUUUACCCUGAAUUGUUUAUUCAUUAAACAAACAAAAAAAAAAAACACGUUUUAACCUUUAGAUGUACUGACUCACUCUUUUGCUCUUUAAGAUGACAUUAACAUCACGCUGGGAAUGCAGUGUACUAGCUUACAUUGGCAAUCAAUAUGUGACUGGAAGAAAAUGUCUUCAGAGAUGAUGAAGUCAAAACCAUUUUGGUUAUAAUUGCAAGAAAUGAAGAAAUACAUGAUGGAACUAAUGUAGGUCUGAAAUCAAUGAACCCAGUUAUUCCACACUGUUAUGCUGCAUAAUUAAAGUGCUGUGAAAACUCUGUUAUCCCAAAUCCAUCACCCUCCAACCUUAAUUUUGCCCCCCCUCCACCUGCCAUUGUUCUCAUUUUUACAACACCAUUAUUAUUUUCAUACGACUGUUGUCCUUUAAAGUGUGUCCAUAACAUGCAUUAUGUAAACGCUGUGAAAAAUAUGUGAAGAUGAAUUUGCCUUCAGCACACUGAUUUAGACUGCUUGAUUUCUUCCUGAGACAAAAUUCUGACAUCCUCCUAAAAUGUCAUGCAGUGCCCGGGACUUCAUCUUUCUUAAAAGAAAAACACAAGUGAGCACUGAGUUUUGUACUGAUUAUGAAAAACGACUUUGACAUGAAUGGAACGUAUCCCAGAUGACACUAACAUCUGUACUAUAAACAUGUUGAAAACAGCAGCUUCUGCUAGUGACUUUCUCAGCUAAAAUGAAGACA
ensembl:lncRNA